GAGUGACCUAGGAACUAAGAAGCCAACCAAAGCUUAACCUUGGAAGGUCCUCAUCACAGAAGCAGAGAGAUUUACCUACCUUUCCGCAGGGCCAACAUCACUGAGGGUUUCACUAAGUUGCUGAGGCUGGAGCUGAACUUGUGAUCUUCUUGCCUCUGCCUCCCAAGCCAUGGGACCAAGCCAUGGGAUCUAUCGGGUCUUAUUAUGUUACCCAGGCUGGCCUCGAAUUUAUGAUUCUCCUGCUUCAGCCUCCUGAAUUGUUGGAAUUACAGAUGGUUGAAUUGGAGGACAUGGAACUCAUGCAUGUGGAGGACCAACUGUAUUGUCAGUGAAAGUAAGCAG